AUUGAACGCUGGCGGCAGGCCUAACACAUGCAAGUCGAACGAGUGGCGGACGGGUGAGUAAUGUCUGGAAAACUGCCUGAUGGAGGGGGAUAACUACUGGAAACGGUAGCUAAUACCGCAUACCAUCAGUUGCCCCCAGAUGGGUGUAGCUUGUUGGUGGUGUAACGGCUCACCAAGGCGAAGAUCCAUAGCUGGUCUGAGAGGAAGACCAGCCAAACUGGAACUGAGACACGGUCCAGACUCCUACGGGAGGCAGCAGUGGGGAAUAUUGCACAAUGGGCGCAAGCCUGAUGCAGCCAUGCCGCGUGUAUGAAGAAGGCCUUCGGGUUGUAAAGUACUUUCAGCGGGGAGGCGUUACCCGCAGAAGAAGCACCGGCUAACUCCGUGCCAGCAGCCGCGGUAAUAC
rnacentral:rRNA from 1 species